UUUUUUGCUCCACAUAUGCAUGCUUUCUACGAUUCGGAGAUCAGUGCAGCCCAAAGAUCACAUUGGAUUCUCCUCACUACACUCCAUCUUCUAACCUAGUCUGCAUCACGGCUAGGUGCAUCCGUUGCCAAGUUCAUCCAAUAUAUGCCAACCGCAUUGCAAGGACGACCAUAUGCACACACACACCACAGUCCACAGGAGACAGAUAGCUAGCUAGCUUACUCUUUAGUCAUACAUACACUUAUAAAUAGCCACCGGCUCUGUGCUCAUCAGCAAGGCAGAUUAAACAAGUGAAGUGGUCCACAUCAAAAAUGAAGUAAUCAGGUCUAGGGAGUCAAAAUUUGGUUGGGCCUCAUUGCAUUGCACUGUUACAUAACUGUGAUCAUGGGGCCAAAAGCUAGCUAUGUAUAGUGAAGUGCUUGGGGGAACUCCAGUUGACACUCAGCAUUUUCAAGUUAGGUAUGUAAGUGCUUGUACUUUAUGAAUUUGUAAGUGACAGAGAAUGAUUAGGUUUGGAGUCCCUAGGAGUUCCUUUCAAGCACUUUACGACACACUGUAUUGAGAGUUGUCGUGAAGUGUUUGGGGGAACUCUUAGUG
rnacentral:precursor_RNA from 1 species